rnacentral:rRNA from 1 species
UACGUAGGGGGGCAAGCGUUGUCCGGAAUCAUUGGGCGUAAAGCGCGCGUAGGCGGCCCGGUAAGUCCGCUGUGAAAGUCAAAGGCUCAACCUUUGAAUGUCAGCGGAUACUGCCGGGCUAGAGUCCGGAAGAGGCGAGUGGAACUCCUGGUGUAGCGGUGGAAUGCGCAGAUAUCAGGAAGAACACCAACGGCGAAGGCAGCUCGCUGGGACGGAACUGACGCUGAGGCGCGAAAGCGUGGGGAGCGAACAGG